CUUUCCAAACAUGGCGGCGUCCUGCAUUUCGUGUGUGCGUCGUAGUGUCGAGUUUUGUUCAUGCGGUCGACCUUUACUGCGUUACCUCGCAUUGUGUGUUGUGUGUUGCGGUUACUGACGUAAGCGCAAGUUCUUCACUGAGUAUGAUCCGCGGCACCGUGCAAAUAGUCACCAGAUGCCGGCCGUGCGACUCCGUUCUCUGCGACUCCUUUGUUCGGUGUGAUCGAGGGACGUGAUUCUUAGCUUUGGAGACCCUCUUUACACCGUGCCCUCUUCAAACGUUUCCACACAUCAGUGAGUAGCAGCACCGCAAUCUUUACUCGACGGCACGCUCCGUGGGCCUAGAAAAUGCCUUGACGGUCGAGCACUUCGGGAGCUAUACCGGCGGACAGCCGGAUGCGGGUAGCUUGGACGUUCCUUGCUCUGCGCAUCGCUUGAAAACCGGCGGUCAUCCUGCAGUGCACGCUUCCAGCGUGCUUUCUUGCCAGAGCCACCUCCCCUGCUGGUGAUGACCAUAUGCAGCCAAUGCUGAUGUGAACCCGAGUGAUUAACAAAUGCAGAUCUGCAAAGGAGCUGUCCUGAGGCACCAUGCUUACUCAAGUCAUGCAGCGAGAGUCAGCAUGCCUGGAAAAGUACUUCAAAGCACACCCCAUCUGGCUGACUGCACCACCUCAAGAAAACUGCCUUUCUCCCAUCUGCAAGUUCCUAAGAAGUUACUUUAUGAAGCAAGCCAGCAGGGCGUGCGUGUUAGGCAUGGCAGCAUGGAGAACAAAUAAACAUAAGUAUUUGGUGCAAGAUGCAUUCAUUGAUUCCGUGCUGCAUCAACAUGUGGCUACAUGCUUGGCCACGUGUAGACACAGCAAGUAAACUCGUUAACCUCAAUGGUAAAAGGUUGUCUAUAAUCACGUUGAGAAGCGCGAUGUCUUAUUUUUGUAAGUAAUUGCAUAGCUCGACUUUGACUCAGGCGUCCAACACCCAUCGUUAUCUACCCAUUAUCUGCCCAUCACCCAGCAUGCACCCAGUAUGUCCAU